AGGCCCCCGUGGAAGAGCUGGACCGGGAGGGGCAGCGGCUACUGCAGUGUAUCCGCUGCAGUGAUGGCUUCUCAGGGCGCAACUGCAUCCCAGGAAGUGCCGACUUCCAGAGCCUUGUACCCAAGAUCACCAGCCUCCUGGACAAGCUGCAUUCCACCCGACAACACCUGCACCAGAUGUGGCACGUCCGAAAGCUCAAGCUGGAUCAGUGCUUCCAGCUGCGGCUCUUCGAGCAGGAUGCCGAGAAGGUUCUCUGACUAGGCUGUUAGCCUGGAAGUCUCAAGGAUCCCCUGUCUCUGCUCCCUGUAGCUCUCAGGUUACAGGCAUGAACAUGGCCACAUCUGGCUUUUCACACAGGCAUGGGACCUGAACUGGGGACCUCAUCCUUCUGCAGCAAAGGCUCUUACCCACUGAGUCAUCACUUUUGUUCCCCAAGUCACACCUUCUAAUGAACACUCCUCAGCUCUUCCUCCUCCACGGACCUCUGCUCUGGUGAAACAAUGGACUCAUCACAGUACUAUUUUUAAAUAUGGGAAAAAAUUACAUAGGCUCAUAAAGCAAAUAAAAUACACUAUUAACUUACU
rnacentral:lncRNA from 1 species